GAGAAGCUAUACAGCAUUAACCUUUAAAGUUAAAGAUUGAGAGUUUAAGUCUCUCCUUAAUGAUAUGCCACAACUAGAUACAUCAACAUGAUUUAUUACCAUUAUAUCAAUAAUCAUUACACUAUUUAUUGUAUUUCAACUAAAAAUCUCAAAACAUCCUUCCCUCUCAAACCCAGAACUAAAAAUAACUAAAUCACCCAAACACAUCACCCCUUGAGAAUCAAAAUGAACGAAAAUUUAUUCGCCUCUUUCACUACCCCAACAAUAGUAGGUCUACCUAUUGAUUGUUGUCUUAAUUCUUAUCAUUAUAUUUCUUA